AGUUAAAAAGUGCGUGAAACCGUUAGAGGGGAAGCGGAUGAAGUUAGCAAUGCUUCUGUGAGAUUCAGGUGGAUGGUGGACCCGACGUGUGGUUGGCGGAUCUGAAUGGACUGUCGCCACGUGGCUGGGCCCUGUAUCCACCGCACUUCUCGCAGGAGUGCGUCAACAGCUGCUUGAAGCAGGCUAGACGGCAUCUGUGGAAGGUAGGUGUUCGGCCUGUUCCGUACACUGUUAUAGCCACUAGUGUCCCAGCCUGCGUCCGGCAGAGGCGAGCGGUGCAUGCCCUGUGCAUCCGUGCCGGGGCUGGCGUCCUGUUCCGCACUCGUAGCCAACUGGGGUGCACUGCGUGCAGUUCACCUCGGGGGGCGAAAAGGCGUGCAGUAAACGCACACCCUGCACCAUGGUUGUUGGCGGCCAUAUGGCUUUUUCCGACCCGUCUUGAAACACGGACCAAGGAGUCUAACAUGUGCGCGAGUCUUGGGGUGACUGAAACCCAGAGGCACAAUGAAAGUGAAGGCUGCCAAUGCUUGUCCCUCACGGGUGCAGGCAUGGCGGCUGAGGUGAGAUCCCCGCUCCGAUGCUGGGCGGUGCGCAUCAUCGACCGACCUAUUCUACUCUUAGGAAGGUUUGAGUAAGAGCGUACAUGAUGGGACCCGAAAGAUGGUGAACUAUGCCUGAGUAGGGUGAAGCC
rnacentral:rRNA from 1 species